rnacentral:rRNA from 1 species
CGGUAAUACGGAGGGUUGCGAGCGUUUAAUCGGAAUUUACUGGGCGUAAAGCGCAUGCAGGUGGUUUGUUAAGUCAGAUGUGAAAAGCCCGGGGCUCAACCUCGGAAUUGCAUUUUGAAACUGGCAAACUAGAGUACUGUAGAGGGGGGUAGAAUUUCAGGUGUAGCGGUGAAAUGCGUAGAGAUCUGAAGGAAUACCCGGUGGCGAAGGCGGCCCCCCUGGACAGAUACUGACACUCAGAUGCGAAAAGCGUGGGGGAGCAAAACAGGAUUAGAUACCCUGGUAG